rnacentral:lncRNA from 1 species
CGAGGUCGUGGUGGUUGCGAUAGAGAGCAAGAGAGAGGUGGUGACAAAAAAAAAAUAAAAAAAAAUAAAAAAUAUAUUUUUUUCUGCAGAAAAGAUAAAAAAUAUAGAAGAAGAAAGAAGAUGAUAAAAUUACACUGUUAAAAUAAGAUUACACUGUUUUAAAAAAAUUGCACUGUUUUAAUUAAAGUUGCACUAUUUGAUAUAGAAAUUACACUCUUUUAGGAUAAAUUUUACACUCUUUAGGCCAAAGUUACACUAUUUAGAAAAAUUUUGCACUAUUUCUCUUCUUUAUCUCUUUCUCUUCCUCUUAUUCUUCUUCUUCCUCCGUCACCCGCGCGCCCUCCUCAUCCCUAUGCCCAUGCCCAUGCCCGAACCCAUCGGGUUCACCGCGGAUGCGGGUCACCCUCCCGCCGCCGCCGCAGCAUCUCCACCGUUCGCUCCGCCACGUGUCCGCAUCUCCGUCCCCUCGCCCUCUUUACUAUCACUCUCCUCCUCCUCCUCCUCUGCUCGUCGUCUCCGGCGUU